rnacentral:rRNA from 1 species
GAGGUCCCGCCUGCCCUGUGACUAUAAGUUUAACGGCCGCGGUAUUUUAACCGUGCGAAGGUAGCGUAAUCACUUGUCUUUUAAAUGAAGACCUGUAUGAAUGGCAUCACGAGGGCUUAGCUGUCUCCCAUCUCCAGUCAAUGAAAUUGACCUCCCCGUGCAGAGGCGGGGAUAGUACCAUAAGACGAGAAGACCCUAUGGAGCUUUAGACCUAAAGUAAAUUACGUUUAACAUCCUAGAACAAUAGGAAAAACUUAGUGAUAUUUACCAAAGUGUCUUUGGUUGGGGCGACCGCGGGGUAAAACAUAACCCCCAUGUGGACCGGGGACACCUCUCCCUAAUACCCAGAGCCUCUACUCUAAGCAACAGAAAUUCUGACUUUUCUGAUCCGGUAAUACCGAUCAACGAACCGAGUUACCCUAGGGAUAACAGCGCAAUCCCCUCUCAGAGCCCAUAUCGACGAGGGGGUUUACGACCUCGAUGUUGGAUCAGGACAUCCUAAUGGUGCAGCCGCUAUUAAGGGUUCGUUUGUUCAACGAUUAAAGUCCUACGUGA